GACGAACGCUGGCGGCGUGCCUAAUACAUGCAAGUAGAACGCUUAAGAGAGGAGCUUGCUCUUCUUGGCUGAGUUGCGAACGGGUGAGUAACGCGUAGGUAACCUGCCUUCUAGCGGGGGAUAACUAUUGGAAACGAUAGCUAAUACCGCAUAACAAUGGCUGACACAUGUCAUUUAUUUGAAAGGGGCAAUUGCUCCACUACAAGAUGGACCUGCGUUGUAUUAGCUAGUAGGUGAGGGAAUGGCCCACCUAGGCGACGAUACAUAGCCGACCUGAGAGGGUGAUAGGCCACUCUGGGACUGAGACACGGCUCAGACUCCGACGGGAGGCAGCAGUAGGGGAUCGUCGGCAAUGGGGGCAACACUGACCGAGCAAAGCCGCGUGGGUGAAGAAGGUUUUCGGAUCGUAAAGCUCUGUUGUAAGUCAAGAACGGGUGUGAGAGUGGAAAGUUCACACUGUGACGGUAGCUUACCAGAAAGGGACGGCUAACUACGUG
rnacentral:rRNA from 1 species